UACGAAGGGGGCUAGCGUUGCUCGGAAUUACUGGGCGUAAGGGGCGCGUAGGCGGACAGUUUAGUCAGAGGUGAAAGCCCAGGGCUCAACCUUGGAAUUGCCUUUGAUACUGGCUGUCUUGAGUUCGGGAGAGGUGAGUGGAAUGCCGAGUGUAGAGGUGAAAUUCGUAGAUAUUCGGCGGAACACCAGUGGCGAAGGCGACUCACUGGCCCGAUACUGACGCUGAGGCGCGAAAGCCAGGGGAGCAAACGGG
rnacentral:rRNA from 1 species